GGCUGUUUCUGUGUCCACAGGUCAGGCCCACAGGAAGAGGGAGUGGCAGAGUGGUCAUCAGUCGUUCUCCUGUGAACAAGAGCUCAACAGGAAAUAACAUACUUGCUGUCCUUGGUGGAGGGCUUGAGCUCGAGACUUGACCCAAAGCCUUAAGUCCAACCCCAACCUGACAAGUCUGAGCAAGAACGCGAGAGAAAGCGAGAGGAAAGAAGUCAUCAAGUCAUCACAGCGACAUUUGCUUUGUUUUUAUAUGACCAAUCUGUAUAUAUGUAUAUAUCAUUUGAAUAAAUGAAAUGCUUUUAAACAGUCUCGGCCUUUGAGAAAACUUGUGAAAAAAGUGAAAAGGCAAAGACCUAUUUUUGUGAUAAAACUAAAUAAAAAUGUAAAUAAGAAU